rnacentral:rRNA from 2 species
UCAGGUAGGGAUACCCGCUGAACUUAAGCAUAUCAAUAAGC